UACGAACUGUGCAAACGUUAUUCGGAAUCACUGGGCUUAAAGGGUGCGUAGGCGGCUGUCUAAGCAGGGUGUGAAAGCCCCCGGCUCAACCGGGGAAUUGCGCUUGAGACUGGCAUGCUCGAGUUCGGGAGAGGAUGGUGGAAUUCCCAGUGUAGAGGUGAAAUUCGUAGAUAUUGGGAAGAACACCGAUGGCGAAGGCAGCCAUCUGGACCGACACUGACGCUGAGGCGCGAAAGCGUGGGGAGCAAACAGG
rnacentral:rRNA from 1 species